rfam:Macrostomum lignano unitig_19906, whole genome shotgun sequence.
AUGCUGGUUGAUCUGCGCCAGUAUCAUAUGCUUGUUCAAAGAUUAAGCCAUGGCAAUGUCUAAGUACAAACCUAAUAACGGUGAAACCGCGAAUGGCUCAUUAAAUCAGCUAUGGUUCUUAGAUCGCUCAUCCUACUGCGGAUAUACUGUGGAAAAAUCUAGAGGCUAAUGACGUGCUUACAAGCCCUGACCAUCCACGGGAGGGGCCGCUUUAUUAGCAUCAAAACUGGCAUCGGGGCUUGCGCCGUCUGGCUUGGUGACCUCUGGAUAACUUUUGUGCUGAUCGCAUGGCUCUCUGCGCUGGCCCGACGUAUCUUUCAAGUGUCUGCCAUAUCAACUUACGAAAUGGAGGUGAUAAUGCCUACCAUGGUUAUAACGGUAACGGGGAAUCAGGGUUCGAUUCCGGAGAGGAGCCUGAGAUAACGGCUACACAUCUAAGGAAAGGCAGCAGGCGCGCAAAUACCCACGUCCGCGGCAGGGGGUCAGUGACGAAAAAUAACGAUACGGGACUCUAUGAGGCGCCCGUAAUUGGAAUGAGUACCUUAAAUCCGUUAACAAGUAUCUAUUUGGAGGGCAAGUCUGGUGGCCAGCAGCCGCGUAAUUCCAGCUCCAAUAGCGUAAUAUAAGUGUUGCUGCAGUUAAAACGCUCGUAGUUGGAUGCUGAGGACUCGAAUUGGUGGUGCACCAUAGCGGUGUUAACUGCCCGAAUUCGGCCUACCUGUCGGUGCUCGCUCUUGGUGUUCUUAAUUGAAUGCCCUGCAUGCCGCGGCAGUUUACUUGAAAAAUAGAGUGCUCAACCAGGCCAUUAGCCGAAUAAACUUCAGCAUGGAAUAAUGGAAUAAGGACUUCGUUCUAUUUUGUUAGUUUUCGAAACCCGAGGUAAUGAUUAAGAGAGACAGGACGGGGGCUAUUCGUACUGCGGUGAUUAGAAGGUGAAAUUCUUGGAUCGCCGCAAAGACGAACAACAUGCGAAAGCAUUUGCAAGAAUGUUUUCAUUAAUCAAAGAACGAAAGUCAGAGUUCGAAGACGAUCAGAUACCGUCCUAGUUCUGACCAUAAACGAUGCCAACUGGCCGAUGCCGAGAUCGUUUGCUUAUUGACCUCUCGGGCAGCCUGCCGGGAAACUGAAAGAAAGUUUUUUAGUUCGCGGGGAAUAUGGUUGCAGCUGGAACUUAAAGGAAAUUGACGGAAGGGCACCAACCAGGAAGUGGAGCCCUGCGGCUUAAUUUGACUGCAACACGGGAAACAACUCACGCCGGCCCGGACACUGUUAGGAUUGACAGAUUGAGAGCUCUUUCUUGAUUCGGUGGGUGGUGGUGCAUGGCCGUUCUUAGUUGGUGGAGCGAUUUGUCUGGUUAAUUCCGAUAACGAACGAGAACUCUAGCCUGCUAAAUAGUACGCCGACCGAUACCUUUUUCGUCGGUGCUGACUUCUUAGAGGACACAAGCGUCUUGAAGACGACUGCCAACGAGAUUGAGGGCAAUAACAGGUCUGUGAUGCCCUUAGAUGUUCGGGCCGCACGCACGCAGCGCUACACUGAAGGGGACAGCGAUUUUUCCUGGUUCGAAGAACCGGGUAAUCUGUUGAAUUCCCUUCGUGACAAGGGAUCGGGGCUUGCAAUUAUUCCCGUGAACGAGGAAUUCCCAGUAAGGAAUCCCGCAAGUCAUCAGCUUGCGUUGACUUACGUCCUGCCCUUUGUACACACCACAGACCCGCCGCUCGCUACUACCGAUUGAAUGGUUUAGCAAGGUCCUCGAUUGGUGCCGACUUGGUGGCAACACUUUUAGGGCGGCAAGUCGGAAUACUGAAAAGAAGAAGAUCACUUGAUCAUUUAGAGGAAGUAAAAGUCGUAACAAGGUUUCCGUAGGUGAACCUGCGCGGAAGGAUCAAAU